GAAAGUAAGCAAGGGCAGACGGUGGAUGCCUUGGCUCUCGGAGGCGAUGAAGGACGUGAUAAGCUGCGAUAAGCUUGGGGUAGGUGCAAAUAACCUUUGAUCCCAAGAUUUCCGAAUGGGGCAACCCGGCUGGUAGAAGGCCAGUCAUUCCGUAAGGAAGGCGAACGUGGGGAACUGAAACAUCUAAGUACCCAUAGGAGAAGAAAACAAAAGUGAUUCCGCAAGUAGUGGCGAGCGAACGCGGAACAGCCCAAACCGAUGAUGUUUAGGCAUUGUCGGGGUAGUAGGACCACGUUGUGGCAAGAGAUUAAGGAAGUAGAACGUUUUGGAACAAACGGCCGUAGACGGUGAAAGCCCAGUAUACGACUCUUUAACGAAGCCUAGUGGAAUCCUGAGUAGCGCGGAGCACGAGAAAUUCUGUGUGAAUCAGCGGGGCCCAUCCCGUAAGGCUAAAUACUCCCGAGAGACCGAUAGCGAACCAGUACUGUGAAGGAAAGGUGAAAAGCACCUCGAACAGAGGAGUGAAAUAGUCCCUGAAACCGUCUGCCUACAAGCGGUCGGAGCAACGUAAGUUGUGACGGCGUGCCUUUUGCAUAAUGAACCUACGAGUUACUUUCUCCGGCAAGGUUAAGGGCUUCAGGCCCGGAGCCGAAGCGAAAGCGAGUCUUAAUAGGGCGUGAUAGUCGGAGUGAGUAGACGCGAAACCAAGUGAUCUACCCUUGGUCAGGAUGAAGGUUGGGUAACACCAACUGGAGGUCCGAAUGGGUAUACGUUGAAAAGUGUUCCAAUGAACUGAGGGUAGGGGUGAAAGGCUAAUCAAACUUGGAGAUAGCUCGUACUCCCCGAAAUGCAUUUAGGUGCAGCCUUUAUUUAGUAUAGCAUGAGGUAGAGCGACUGAUUGGAUGCGAGGGCUUCACCGCCUAUCAAGUCCAGAUAAACUCCGAAUGCGUGCUAUAUAUUGAUAAGGAGUGAGGGCGCGGGUGCUAAGGUCCGCGUCCGAGAGGAGAAGAAUCCAGACCAUCAGCUAAGGUCCCCAAAUAACAGUUAAGUUGAACUAACGAAGUCGGACUGCAGAGACAGCUAGGAUGUUGGCUUGGAAGCAGCCAUUCAUUUAAAGAGUGCGUAACAGCUCACUAGUCGAGGAGUCCGGCGUGGAUAAUACUCGGGCAUAAACUGUUUACCGAAGCUAUGGAUGUAGAAAUACAUGGUAGGGGAGCAUUCCAACGGCGUCGAAGGUGAAGGAUGACCUUUGCUGGAGCUUUUGGAAACGCAAAUGUAGGUAUAAGUAACGAUAAAGGAGGUGAGAAACCUCCUCGCCGAAAGACUAAGGUUUCCUGAUCAACGUUAAUCGGAUCAGGGUAAGUCGGGACCUAAGGUUAAGCCGAACGGCGAUACCGAUGGAAGAAUGGUUUAAUAUUCCCAUACUACUUUAUGGAGCGAUGUGGAGACGGAGAAGUGAAAGUCCUGCCAUCUGACGGAAUAGGUGGUUGAAGAGUGUAGAUGUAGAUUCCUGUAGGCAAAUCCGCAGGGAGAGUCGACCUUGACAGUAUGCCGCGUGCUUGCACAAGGCAAAAUGGACGUAAUCAGGCUCCCAAGAAAAUCCGCUAAGCAUAUUCAUAAAGUACCCGUACCGUAAACGGACACACGUAGUUGGGUUGAAAAUACUGAGGCGCUCGAGUGAUUCACGGUUAAGGAACUAGGCAAAUUGACCCUGUAACUUCGGGAUAAAGGGUCCCUACUGAGAGGUAGGGCGCAGAGAAUAGGUCCAGGCAACUGUUUAACAAAAACACAUGGCUGUGCGAAAUAGAAAUAUGAAGUAUACAGCCUGACACCUGCCCGGUGCUGGAAGGUUAAGAGGAGAGCUCAUCGCAAGAGAAGGCUUGAAUUGAAGCCCCAGUAAACGGCGGCCGUAACUAUAACGGUCCUAAGGUAGCGAAAUUCCUUGUCGGGUAAGUUCCGACCUGCACGAAUGGUGUAAU
rnacentral:rRNA from 1 species